rnacentral:rRNA from 1 species
CGGGAAGAGCUCAAAUUUGUAAUCUGGCCCUUUCAGGGUCCGAGUUGUAAUCUCGAGAAGUGUUUUCCGCGCCGGACUGCAUACAAGUCUGUUGGAAUACAGCGUCAUAGUGGUGAGAGCCCCGUAACUGAUGCAGAUGCCCGGUGCUUUGUGAUACACUUUCGAAGAGUCGAGUUGUUUGGGAAUGCAGCUCAAAUUGGGUGGUAAAUUCCAUCUAAAGCUAAAUAUUGGCGAGAGACCGAUAGCGAACAAGUACCGUGAGGGAAAGAUGAAAAGCACUUUGGAAAGAGAGUUAACAGUACGUGAAAUUGUUGGAAGGGAAACGCUUGAAGUCAGACUUGCUAUUCGGAAUUCAGCCGCAAGGUGUACUUUUCGAUUUGCAGGCCAGCAUCAGUUUUUGGGGGUGGAAAAGGGUGGAGAGAAGGUAGCAACCUCGGUUGUGUUAUAGCUCUUUACUGGAUUCAUCUUUGGGGACUGAGGAUCGCAGUGCGCAAUUCAUUUUGCAAACCUUUCGAGGUUUUCGUACUUAGGAUGCUGGUGGAAUGGCUUUAAACGACCCGUCUU